rnacentral:rRNA from 1 species
GGCGAAAUGAAAGUGAAGGUCGGCCUUGCGCCAACCAAGGGAGGAUGGGUCGCGUCACGUCGCGACCCCGCACUCCCGGGGCGUCUCAUUCUCAUCGCGAGAAGAGGCGCACCCAGAGCGUACACGCUGGGACCCGAAAGAUGGUGAACUAUGCCUGGUCAGGACGAAGUCAGGGGAAACCCUGAUGGAGGUCCGAAGCGAUUCUGACGUGCAAAUCGAUCGUCGGAACUGGGUAUAGGGGCGAAAGACUAAUCGAACCAUCUAGUAGCUGGUUCCCUCCGAAGUUUCCCUCAGGAUAGCUGGCGCUCGCUUUUGCGAGUCUCAUCUGGUAAAGCGAAUGAUUAGAGGCAUUGGGGUCGAAACGGCCUCAACCUAUUCUCAAACUUUAAAUGGGUGAGAUCUCCGGCUUGCUUGAACAGUGAAGCCGCGAGAUCGGAUCAGAGUGCCAAGUGGGCCAUUUUUGGUAAGCAGAACUGGCGCUGUGGGAUGAACCAAACGCAGAGUUAAAGCUCCUAAAUCUACGCUUAUGGGAUACC